rnacentral:lncRNA from 1 species
UAUUAGCAAUAUUUAGAUUGCCCCCUCUUUUUAUUCACUUUAUUACUUCUAUUCUAGACCCUAUCCCUAUGGUUUAUUCUUAUGAAAUAUCAUAUAAAAUAGAAGGUAUAAGAAAUGGCAUUGCGUAUGUCUGGGGGAGAUCAUAUCCACUCCGGUACAGUAGUAGGUAAGUUAGAAGGGGAACGCGAAAUGACUUUAGGUUUUGUUGAUUUAUUGCGCGAUGAUUUUAUUGAAAAAGAUCGUGCUCGCGGUAUCUUUUUCACUCAGGAUUGGGUAUCCAUGCCAGGUGUUAUACCAGUAGCUUCAGGUGGUAUUCAUGUUUGGCAUAUGCCAGCUCUGACCGAAAUCUUUGGGGACGAUUCUGUAUUACAAUUUGGUGGAGGAACUUUAGGACAUACUUGGGGAAAUGCACCUGGUGCAGCAGCUAAUCGAGUGGCUUUAGAAGCCUGUGUACAAGCUCGUAACGAAGGGCGCGAUCUUGCUCGCGAAGGUAAUGAAAUUAUCCGAGCAGCUUGCAAAUGGAGUCCUGAACUAGCCGCAGCUUG